rnacentral:rRNA from 1 species
GACGAACGCUGGCGGCGUGCUUAACACAUGCAAGUCGAACGGAAAGGCCCUGCUUUUGUGGGGUGCUCGAGUGGCGAACGGGUGAGUAACACGUGAGUAACCUGCCCUUGACUUUGGGAUAACUUCAGGAAACUGGGGCUAAUACCGGAUAGGAGCUCCUGCUGCAUGGUGGGGGUUGUAAAGUUUCGGCGGUUGGGGAUGGACUCGCGGCUUAUCAGCUUGUUGGUGGGGUAGUGGCUUACCAAGGCUUUGACGGGUAGCCGGCCUGAGAGGGUGACCGGCAAAAGGGGGAAGAGGGAGGGGCCAGGACGCAAAGGGGAGGAAAGGGGGGGGAAAAUGCCAAAAAGGGCGGAAGGAGGGAGGAAGAACGCCGGGGGGGGAAAGAGGGCGUUGGGGUAGGAAACCGUUUGUGAGUGAGAAGGAGCGGGGGGAAGGGAAAUGGGGAAAGAAGCACGGGUAAAUAAGGG